GCGGAUAAACAUCCGCUGGAAUGUAACCCUACAAGCAAAGGGUUGAACCAUAAA
ncrna:unclassified sequences eL15-Euryarchaeota ribosomal protein leader